rnacentral:snoRNA from 1 species
UGCUGACCCGCCCCUUCCUCCCUCUCCGCUCAGGGCUCCCGGGAACCAGGAGAGACGCUGCCCCGGAAGCUGAAGCA